GAAGUAUAACAAUGAAAUGAAGUACAAAGAUGAAAUGAAGUACAAAAGACUCAGAAUUACCACUUCCAAUCGUCUUUUCACAUUUUUAGCUUCCUCGUCCGCCAUCUUGGAAAACCUCCAGAUGUCAUUGUUAUCCCCAGGUAGUUAUCCCAUUAUCACCCCAUUUUAAGUGCUACUGAGACCUACUACUUCUAUAUACCCCAAUGUACCCACAAUCUACAUAAAUAAUCUGUCAUAAACAAGAACUGUCGUGCCAAAACACGUAUUCCAAUAUUCCAUAUCAUUUCAUGCUUCAACGACUUUGAAUAUUUGUGUGGAUAAUAAUCUUUGUAUAGUUAAAGCACUUCUCCUUCGAAGUUCUAGAGUGGGAAAUCGCCAGAAUGGCUGUAUGAGUGUUCUUGGCAGAUCAUAAACAUAACAUAUAGUCACUUGACUCACUUCUAGCCAGUUCCAGGUAAGCCUCAGGAUAAAAUGAUUAAGAACGGCGAAACUAAAUGUAGGAAAUACAGUUGGAUAGAUUGUAUUGUAUUGAACAAGAAAUGCACUAAAUUUUUGCUCUGUUCCUUUGUUUGUUCCUUUGUAUAUUUAGUAAGGUGCAGUGAAAAGUAUGUGAAAUUUAAAUCUAUAUAUCAACUAGUCUCCGUCAGUGGUCACCGUACGUUGGUGUUAUAUUUAAUCAAUGGACCAUCAUGUGACCUAUGGCUCUGGUAUUUGUAAUUACACUUCUUCCUGUUUUUUGUACUUCUAAUUUCUUUAUCAUUCAUUUACCUCAGAAGUAACUGCCAUGUUUGUAAUAAUAGAGCAUUUUGAAACAAAAGUGAAAGAUCCAUAAAUUGAAAAAUGAUAAUGUGCAUGGUAAGGGAUUUUAAUAAAGGAAGUAUUGUUUCCAUAGCAAUGGUAAAAUAAGCCAGGUCUAAACAAUAUUAAACAUUGUUCAUGGGUGAAGUGUACGAAAUGCAAUAUCCAUUGAUUUUACUGUAAUUUUCAAUCAAGGCUUGGUGUUCAAAGUCCGAAUUAACGCAUCGCAAGAUGUGAAGUGAUUUUGAGUAUUGCGUAAAAUUGAGAAGCAAUUUUUCUAAAAGUUGUGAAGUGUCUUUAGUAAUGCUUGAUAUCCAGCUUUCUUCCAUUACACUCGAAUGUCUCAGACAUUCGUGUGGAGCAUCUCACUUUUGAGUUUU